rnacentral:tRNA from 1 species
GCGGGUGUAGCUCAAUGGCAGAGCUGAAGCCUUCCAAGCUUAAGACGCGGGUUCGAUUCCCGCUACCCGCUCCA